AGCGAACGCUGGCGGCAGGCCUAACACAUGCAAGUCGAACGAACCUUUCGGGGUUAGUGGCGGACGGGUGAGUAACACGUGGGAACGUGCCUUUAGGUUCGGAAUAACUCAGGGAAACUUGUGCUAAUACCGAAUGUGCCCUUCGGGGGAAAGAUUAAUCGCCUUUAGAUCGGCCCGCGUCUGAUUAGCUAGUUGGUUGAGGUAAUGGCUCACCAAGGCGACGAUCAGUAGCUGGUCGGAGAGGAUGAUCAGCCACAUUGGGACUGAGACACCGCCCAACAUCCGACGGGAGGCAGCAGUGGGGAAUAUUGUGCAAGGGGCGAAAGCCUGACGCAGCCAUGCCGCGUGAAUGAUGAAGGUCUUAGGAUCGUAAAAUUCUUUGACAGGAGACGAGAAUGACGGUACCCGGAGAAGAAGCCCCGGCUAACUUCGUG
rnacentral:rRNA from 1 species